rnacentral:lncRNA from 1 species
UCAGCUCAGGCCAGAGCUAUACAGGAAGACCUUGACCCAAAAAGAAAGAAAACUAGAGAAAAUGGAAGCAAACUAAAGUGGAGGAGUCUCACUAUAAAGUUCACGAUGUCAAUCAACCUGUGAGGAGAAGAGGCCAGCCAGGAGAAGGAACAAAUGAAGGUGAGAAACACAGAGCCAUGAGAAGAAAGACAUCUACAACUACAUGAAGCAGGUCAUAAUGUAAUGGCUUUGUG